GAGACGGAUUUAUACAAAACGUUCACUUCAAUGCUGUGUAUUUUAUGUGACCAAGAACAAACUUGGAGUUUGGAGAAAAAUGCCGUCCCUAUUCGUACAUAUGCACGCUAGAAAUAGGUACAAGAACUCUGUCAAACACGUAGCUUUUAAAACUUAAUGUACUGCAUAGCUGUGCGUAAUAUGACCACCGCAUAAAGUAAAUAGUGGUAACUUAAAUGAUUACGUUUCUCACAACGUAAGACUAAAAGGUUUGUUUGUAUAUCUUAUUCUGUGUGCAACAUGGAACUAUAGUUUGUGGAUGUGGCGGUUGUUCACUGCUAGGGUGGGAAGCAGUAUGCCUACCUGUGAGAUGUGCGACCUGUGGAUGAAUGCGACUUUAUAACAGAGAUGUUAUGGAAGGGACCAUCGAACUGCUCACCCUCUCACAGAUAGUGGCUUCGUCUCUUAUGCAAAAGUUUGGCACAAAACCACGGAUGGAGAUCUCUACAAGUCGCUACUGUUGAAGAUCAGGCAAGAUAUGACAAAGCUUCUCACUGUCCAAUCAACACGAUGCACCAGUUCCAGAGAUGUCAUCACUGUGACAAACGCACUACCUAUGCAUGCAAGAGAUGCAAAGCACCACUGCCCAUUGAGUGCUUCAAGAUACACCAUGGACAGUAGAAAAGAAGAUAAGAGGGAAUGAAAAAGCCCCCCCCCCAAAAAAUAGAAAAGUCAGUGAGGGGAAGCAGUGCAAUAGACUCCGGGAAGAAAAGAAAAGUUAAGGAGAAAGGGGAAAAGACUAUCAAAAUGGCUGAAAUGUUUCUGAUCAAGGUCAAUUCAAGAUACACUGACAUACAGGCCUGACUGAUCAUAGUUCAAAAUAGUGAUGCGCAAACUAAUCGUGUACUUGGUUGACACCUCUAAGAUUUUAUAUAUAUAUAUAUGUUAAGUGUGUGUUAUGUGUUAUGUUAAGUGUAGGCCUCUACCUGAAUGCAUAAUCUACAGGCUACCUUUAUCCUAAAUGUUACCUUUAUGUUCAAUGUUAAUGAAUCACAUGACUGCUAUACAGCUGUUAGUGAAUAAGGGUUUUCGAUAAGGUCACACUAGUAUGUGAUAAAGUAUUCUAGUGGCAAUGCUGGGGACACUUUUUCACCUACUUCUCCAUGGAAAAAAAUAAAUAAAAAAUUGAUUAUUUCAAAGGAUUACUAACGACACAAUUUGGAUAUUUUCACAUCUGGGAAAAUGUGUGAUUAAUCAUGUUAAGAUUGGGCGUUCACACAGACAUGUAUUGGCUGCUGAAUUCUGACUGGCCGUUGGCACAGUGACACUUUUAAGUUAAAUUUUCAUUUAGAUUGUGUCAGAAUUAUUCUCUUGAAUGUACCGCAGCCACAUUACCCACCACAUGUCUCCCACUAGCGGCAAUUUAAAACCCUCCAUAUUUCAUGUCCAUUGAUUUGGGCCAGUCCAAAACCUCACCUUAUAUUUUGUCUGUGCUGUGUUUGUUUUGUAGUUAUAUUCACUUGCCUCACGUGUUUAUAUUCACGUGUGCAUAUUCAGUCUUUUUUUGUUUCCAUGACCAACCCCAUUCUGAAGACCAUUUUAGUAUAAGAUACAUUCAGCUUGCUGUUGCCUGGGAACAUCAGGACACAAACACAUUUUUAGACCAAAGAGAAGAGACGUUUUUUGUUAAGACAAAGUAUAGUGAGAUUUAUAACAAAGGAAUGUUGCAGUUUUUUUUUUCUUUAGAAAGAAUCCCUACACGAAAACUGUUUUACAGUUCAUUUCACUCUGGAAGUAACAGCAAUUCAACCAAUUUU